rnacentral:rRNA from 1 species
AGAGUUUGAUCAUGGCUCAGAUUGAACGCUGGCGGCAUGCCUAACACAUGCAAGUCGAACGGUAACAGAACUAGCUUGCUAGUUGCUGACGAGUGGCGGACGGGUGAGUAAUGUAUAGGAACUUGCCUAGUAGUGGGGGACAACGUGUGGAAACGCACGCUAAUACCGCAUACGCUCUACGGAGGAAAGUGGGGGAUCUUCGGACCUCACGCUACUAGAUAGGCCUAUAUUGGAUUAGCUAGUUGGUAAGGUAAAGGCUUACCAAGGCGACGAUCCAUAGCUGGUUUGAGAGAAUGAUCAGCCACACUGGGACUGAGACACGGCCCAGACUCCUACGGGAGGCAGCAGUGGGGAAUAUUGCACAAUGGAGGAAACUCUGAUGCAGCAAUGCCGCGUGUGUGAAGAAGGCCUUAGGGUUGUAAAGCACUUUAAGUUGGGAGGAAAAGCUGUGUAUUAAUAAUGCAUAGCCGUGACGUUACCAACAGAAUAAGGACCGGCUAACUCCGUGCCAGCAGCCGCGGUAAUACGGAGGGUCCAAGCGUUAAUCGGAAUUACUGGGCGUAAAGCGCGCGUAGGCGGCUUAUUAAGUCAGAUGUGAAAUCCCUGGGCUCAACCUAGGAACUGCAUUUGAUACUGGUAAGCUAGAGUAUGGUAGAGGUGAGUGGAAUUUCAGGUGUAGCGGUGAAAUGCGUAGAGAUCUGAAGGAACAUCAGUGGCGAAGGCGACUCACUGGGCAUUACUGACGCUGAGGUGCGAAAGCGUGGGUAGCAAAACAGGAUUAGAUACCCUGGUAGUCCACGCCCUAAACGAUGUCAACUAGGUGUAUGGGGGGUUUAUCCCUUGUGUAUCGAAGCUAACGCGAUAAGUUUGACCGCCUGGGGAGUAC